rnacentral:tRNA from 1 species
GCCGCGGUGGCGGAAUUGGCAGACGCAGUAGACUCAAAAUCUACCGCCCCUCAAGGGCGUGGGGGUUCAAGUCCCUUCCGCGGCACCA